UACGAGGGGGGCAAGCGUUGUUCGGAUUCAUUGGGCGUAAAGGGUGCGUAGGUGGUGCUGUAAGUCAGGUGUGAAAUCUCGGGGCUCAACCCCGAAACUGCACUUGAUACUGCAGUGCUCGAGGACUGGAGAGGAGAUCGGAAUUCAUGGUGUAGCAGUGAAAUGCGUAGAUAUCAUGAGGAAGACCAGUGGCGAAGGCGGAUCUCUGGACAGUUCCUGACACUGAGGCACGAAGGCCAGGGGAGCAAACGGG
rnacentral:rRNA from 1 species